UCCCCCACCUUCUCACCCUCCUCGUCACGCACUCCUCCCUUCCCUAGGUCUGCGACACCCUCUACUCCCUCUCGCCUCAUCCUGCGCGUUUCGUCCUUCUCGGUUCCCCUCUCUCGCACUCACACUUCUCUAAUUUCUCUUUCUUUCUCGCACUUUAUCUCUCUCGCACCGAUUCUCCCACUCUUUCCUUAGCCCGCAAGGAACGAAUCGCCUGAUUUCUUUCUCUCUCCUACUAACCAUCGCCUUCUCUUUCUAUCUUCUUCGAAACCUACACAAACGCAAUCUCUCUCAAUUCGUCUUCCUCUUUCUUGCUCCUCACCCUCGAUCACCCUCCAAAAAGGGCACUUAUUUUCGCCCCUUUGUUCUCACGGUUGUGACCAACUUCUCCUUCUCUCUACCUUUCCUUAAACCUACCAUCUCCCCUUGCCUAUACGCCCUCGUUCCUCGGGCUUCUUUCUCGAACACACCCUCUCCCUCUCUACCUCCUAGCUACUUCUUACGUCGUGUUACUGCGCACUCGUUCUGGCAAAGUCGCCACGAGCUCGUGCAACUACUCGCAAAGUUGUUACCCAUUGACGACGUCAUGUGCGGUUCCAGCGGUUGCGACAGUCGCUUAUCGCUUGUCGUAUUAUUUUGAUAAAGGAAAAUGCGGGUUAAAGGGGCACGGAGUUUCUGUUCAAGUUUUUAAAAUAGAGCCACACGGAUUAUGUUACGGACUUGCAACGUGAUAUCUCAUUCAUCUUUCUUUUGUUAUUUUUUCCUUCUAUUUGUCGUUAAUGUGAUUUUAAAUGUUAAAGAAAAAAAGAGAUUAAAGCUAUACGGGAUGAUCGAGUAGAAAAAUACCAGGGGUUGGGCAUAGGGGGCUUGGAAAGAAACUCACGAAUGUAAUAAGACGGCUGUGGAGGAGAUGCGUUGCGAGUUACACACGCAACCACGAUUUGCGUCUGCGCACUUUUUUCUGUACAGACUCGCCAAGUAGUAGUGAAUGAUAGAAAGAGACAAACGCUCUCCGCCACGAGGCUGUUUCUCAACUUCUGAGCUGCAAAUGUACAAGUACCAACCACAUUUGCGUAUCCUGGUAGUAGUUUGUCGCUGGUUCAGCUUCCGCUUCGUACCUCGAGGCUUGUUGCGUAUCCGUGGACAAGAAUCCGAGUGUCGUCACGUUGCUAUGGAAAUAAAUGCACCUUCGUCUGAUUUCCUCGUUGAAUCAAUGUGUGUUGGUUGCGUGUCGUCACCGGAAUCGUUGCGCUACGCUGACGGCACCUUGACACGUUUACCCCGACACGCGUAUUCUACACCACUACAAUAAUGUCGAAACGACUUCAUUAUCGGAAGCUUUUAUUAUACGAUGCUCACUAUCUUUAUCGAUACGAUCGAUUUAAAACGACGAAAGAGCCGAGUCACUGAUUGUUUCCCGCGCUUUUACUUUGUACUCCCUUAAACGUAAUGUCGAGUGCAGAAAUUGAAGUAAAAUAUGAACGAUGAAAAUUCGGUUGGUACUUCAAACGAAAAAUACAUAUAUGUAUCGUAUACCACGAGGUAACGCGUUUCCAACACACGAGGGUUGGCUGGAAGCGAUACGCGGGG